rnacentral:rRNA from 1 species
UACGAGGGGUGCAAGCGUUGUUCGGAAUUAUUGGGCGUAAAGGGCGCGUAGGCGGCGCGGUAAGUCACCUGUGAAAUCUCCCGGCUUAACUGGGAGGGUGCGCCGAAGACUGGAAGGCUUGAGUAUGGGAGAGGUAAGCGGAAUUCCUGGUGUAGCGGUGAAAUGCGUAGAUAUCAGGAGGAACACCUGCGGUGUAGACGGCUUACUGGACCAUAACUGACGCUGAGGCACGAAAGCGUGGGUAGCAAACAGG